UCAAAAGCAAUUUUCUCCUAA
rnacentral:piRNA from 1 species